rnacentral:rRNA from 1 species
GCAUAUCACUAAGCGGAGGAAAAGAAACUAACUAGGAUUCCCCCAGUAACUGCGAGUGAAGAGGGAAGAGCUCAUCAUUGGAAUCUGGCAGUGUUUCACUGUCCGAGUUGUAGAUGAGGAGUAGUCCGUCUGGACUGCAUGGCGUCCAAGUACAAUAGGCCGUCAGUGGGACAUCAUAGAGGGUGACAAUCCCGUCCUUGACGCCAAUGUGCAAGUCUAUUACGAUGGCUAUCUCAGAGAGUCGAGCAGUUUGGGAUUUGCUGCUUAAACAUGGGAGGUAGAUUCCUUCUAAAGCUAAAUACAGGCGAGAGACCGAUAGAGAACAAGUACCGCAAGGGAAAGAUGAAAUAGCACUCUGUGAAGGGAGUCAAAAGGCGUGAAAUUGUUGCGAGAGAAGCGAUUCAAGUCAGCGUAGCUAGGCCCAUCAAGCGUCUUCGCUUUGGACUAGCUUUGCCAGCGGUCUUGUCCCUUAAAGAGACUUGACUUGUAAUAUGUCCAGCCUGGCGUGCACAGGCAGCCCCUUCUGGGGGGCCAGUGACAUGGCUGGUGGAAUGGCUUGCAAUCGACCCGUCUUGAAACACGGACCAAGGAGUCUAACAUGUAUGCGAGUAUAAGGGUGGCAAACCCGUAUGCGCAAUGAAAGUGAUUUUCGGUGAUUGAGAAUGGCCUGAUGACCAGACAAGCAAUAUAUGUCCCUCGUACGGCCAUUGCCCAAGUUCCGUGGUAGAUCCCACGAACAUGGAGUUGGAGCAUACAUGCUAGGACCCGAAAGAUGGUGAACUAUGCCUGGACAAAGCGAAGCCAAAGGAAACUCUGGUGGAGGCUUGUAGCGAUUCUGACGUGCAAAUCGAUCG